rnacentral:piRNA from 1 species
UCCAAUCUCGACACAGGUGUCCCAAAAU